rnacentral:misc_RNA from 1 species
CAUUUAUCUUGCUGGUUCUCAUGUAUAUCCUUUCACCAGCCUCUACCCUAAUUUUGUCACAAAGGAAACUAUAUGUUGGGUGUGUUUUCAAUACUUUUAAUCAAUACAUAUAAGAAAAUGUUAUUUUCAACAGGAGUUUCAAAAGCAAUCAAUGUUAAUACUCGAAAGCCCAGGGUCAUAUACAUAAUAAACCAAUGAAAAAGGGGAAGAGAAAGCCAUUUUCUCUGCAAGAAAAACAUUUGGAU